GGUGUGCUUGCAGGCUUUGAAGAACAAGCUGCCAUGAAUCCUGCAGCUACAAGGAAAUGAACUCUAUUAACUUGAGUGAGCUUAAAACUAGAUCCUUCCCCAGUCAAGCCUCCAGGUGAGAAUUCAAUCCUGGCUGGCACCUGGAUUGCAGCUUACAGAAGACCCAGCUAAGGCCAUGUCUGGACUUUAAAUCCACAGGAACUGCAAGAGAACUGUUUGAUACACGCAACCAGGACUGUAUGAGAGGCUGGAAACGUAUCUAUCAGUACUACUUAUCUGUAGUAAAGACUUUUUUAAGCUCAUUUAUGAUUGCACAACCUAAAUAACCAUACAUGGCUGGGCCUGGGAAAGGCAGAAAGGCAGAUGGAUGGUAUCAGAAGUGGGACCUGCAGUGGGGCAUCUAGCAACCCCCAGGAGCAUUGAGUGACCAGGCUUGGGACCCACCGGGCGCAGGGUGUCCAUUGUUCUCUCGAAGCAACUGAGAAUUGUGGAUAUUCUUCAUUAUUCCAUCAUCAUCUCAAACCUCUUGGGUAUAGUGUUUGACUACUACUGUGACCAUAAAUUCCAAUAAAACCUAGGAAAAAUGAAACCACUACAUUAACUGAAAGGGAAGGAUUUGACAGCUUCUUUUGGGCAUAUCAGAAUCGCCAGCAUCACUACUCUUGCACUGUGCGGCCAUUAUUAAGUGAAAUAAGGAUUACUUGAACACAAGCACUGCAAUGCCGCUACAGUCAAUGUGAUAACCCAGCUGGUGACUAAGUGACCAAGGACGGGGAGUAUCUACAGCGGGGAGACUCUGGAAAAAGGGAGGAUUCACAUCCAGUGCCACUGGGGCAGGGCAGAAUGAGAGUUCAUCAUGCUACAAAGAAUGGCACAGAAUAUACGACUUGUGAGUGGAUUAUCUCUGGAAUUUUCUGUUGACUACAUUUGUACUACAGUUGUAUGUGGGUAACAAACUGUGGAAAGUGAAACUUCGGGUAAGGGGGAGGCUACCGUAGAUAGCCCAGUAUUUCUUAUUUUGUGGAUUUGUUUAUCUUUCUGCUCACAUCCUUUUCCUUCUGCAUUACCAUUUUAGUAAAAAUAGAUAGCAUCCAUUUGGUGUUUAGUAUGUUUUUGGCACAGUCGAACAUUUUACAAACAUUAUAUCAUUUAAUCUGCAUAAAACCUAUACAGUAGGUACAACUAUUAUCCAGUUUUUUAGACAAGGCAAACUGGAUCACAGGGAGUUCAAAACGCCUCUUCCCUUGGUCAAGUUGGGUCAUGUAAUUGUCAAAGUUAAAACAUGCCCCUUAGGAGAUGAUUUAAAAUUCCCUAAUUUUUUAGAAGAAUCUUCAGUUUUCCCAGGAUAGAACAUUUAUUGAUAUGGUAAAUAUGUGGAAAGACCCACCAACCCCACUCCAAUCUUACAUUCUUGCCAUUAAAAAACAAACAUAAAGACUGUUCCCUAUGUUUUUUUCUUUAAAAUGUAUUCUAG
rnacentral:lncRNA from 1 species